UACGAAGGGGGCUAGCGUUGCUCGGAAUCACUGGGCGUAAAGCGCACGUAGGCGGCUUUUUAAGUCAGGGGUGAAAUCCUGGAGCUCAACUCCAGAACUGCCUUUGAUACUGAGAAUCUUGAGUUCGGGAGAGGUGAGUGGAACUGCGAGUGUAGAGGUGAAAUGCGUAGAGAUCGGCAGGAACACCCAGGGGGAAACCAGCCGGCUGGGGACGUGCUGACGCUCAGGGGCGAAAGCGUGGGGAGCGAACCGG
rnacentral:rRNA from 1 species